ensembl:lncRNA
CACACACACACACACACACACACAGAGCGCGAGGACGCUAUAAAGCUGCUCUGUUGGGUUGCUCUUGUCAAAAGUGCUGGAGAUGUGAGGAGGAGUGAAGGAACUGGAGGAACUUCCACACGAUUUCGUUUCCUUUCUGCUGGAUUUCGGGACAAAACUCGCUGAUUCAUUUUUAAUAUUUUGCACAUUUUAGGUCUUUUUUUGCGCAGCUCCAGACUCCUGAUAUAUAUUUAUAUUUAUAUAUAGAUUUAUUUUUUGUAUCAGUUUUAGAAGAAACUUCUUUCUUCCUGACCAGCCUGCACUCAAGAUUAACGGGAUCCGUGCGGAAACAGUAUCGGGAGAGUGUGUGUGUGUGUGUGUGUGUGUGUGUGUGUGUUUGACGUUGCUGUGAUGGGCGCGUGUCCCGCAGGCUCGGUGUCCGCGCUUCACCGGUUCUUUUCCCGCUGCGUGCUCCUGCUGCUGGUGUGUUUGGUGUGCGGGGUUCUGGGGACCUGGGGACCGGGACGGUACAGCUACCAAACCAGGACCUCACUCAACAAAGACCCGAGCAAAAGGUACGCUAAUUUACGAGUUUAACGCAAAGUUUGUGUGGCGACGAGUGCAGAAGUUUGUGCACCCUCAGCACCAGCACACUUUGACUGAUGUGUUCUCAUUAUCAUUAUCACACCUGAGAUGGUGUAAAAGGUAAAUAAAUAGCUGUGUUCAAAGUUCAGUGAUCGAAAUGAACGAAUUCAUGUAACAAUCAUAAGCCGAGAACUGGUGCGUAAAAUUAUUAUUUUAUUUUAGAAUGGUGUAUAAAUCAUUUAAACAGGCUAGCAGGAGGAUUUCACGAUUUUUCAAUAUAAUAUAUUCACUUAUACACUAUUUACUUAUACACUAUACACUAAAUAUUCACUUAUACACUAUUCACAUAUACACUAUACACUUAUACACUAUACACUAAAUAUUCACUUAUACACUAUUCAUGUAUAUACUAUACACUUAUAACACUAUACACUAAAUAUUCACUUAUACACUAUACACUUAUACACUAUACACUAAAUAUUCACUUAUACACUAUUCACAUAUACACUAUACACUUAUAACUAUACUCAUACACUAUUCAUGUAUAUAUUAUACACAUAAACACUAUACACUAAAUGUUCACUUAUACACUAUUCACAUAUACACUAUACACUAAUAUUCACUUAUGCACUAUACACUAAUACACUAUACACGUAAACACUAUACACUAAAUGUUCACUUAUACACUAUUCAUAAAAUACACUGUACACUAAUACACUAUACACUAAAUAUUCACUUAUGGACUAUACACUUAUACACUAUACACUAAAUAGUCACUAUGCACUAUACACUAAUACACUAUACAUGUAAACACUAUACACUAAAUGUUCACUUAUACACUAUUCACAUAUACACUAUACACUUACACACUAUACACUAAUACACUAUACACUAAAUAUUCACUUAUGGACUAUAUACUUAUACACUAUACACUUAUACGCUAUACACUAAAUAUUGACUUUAUUUUCGCUGAUUAGUGUGUACUGCUCUUUAUAAUAUAUAUAUUUUUUAAACGCAGAAACAUUUAAUUUCAUUAUGUUUGAAGGCAUCUUUGCUCUACAGCGUUUCUUUCUUCGCACAGUCCUGUAUAUGAAAUGAAACAACUGGCACAAAAAUGGACUUUAACGUCCAGUGAAAUACUCGUUACUGUAUUUUCAGCAGCGUUUAAAAGACAGUCGACGUCUUUUCAUUACUAAUCAUCGAUACAGGGUUAGAGCGCAGACGAUCUGUAAUCACCAUACUCGAGUGUCGGACGAUCUUCCAGCAAUAUCGUGUCGCCUGUAAAUUUUAGCUUUAACAAUAUUCAUUUGAUGACAGUUUUUUUUUUUUAAAAAGAAAGAAAGAAAGAAAGAAAACACUGGGUGGGCUGUUUUUUUACAAAAAAAAAAAAAAGAUGCAAAACGUGAACAUGAAAUGAAUCUGCUUAUAGAGAUUGUAAUCAUUAAAGAAAAAGAAAUGAUAAAAAGAUAUCUCGAUACCUGCGCUAUCUCGGAAAAAUGUCUUGUGACAUAAUUUAUCGCAAUAUGGAUAUUAUUAUAUAUUUCGGUUCUACCUCAAGUCCUGUUAAACGACAUAAUAAUGAAUAAAAUGAAGUGAUUUUCGGGAUCAAAGGUGAAAAUGAACCCUUCAGUAGCGGUGUAUCCGAGUGUCGUGUAUAAUCUGUCGUACUUUUGUGAGCUUGCAUCUCAGCGAGAGAUCACAGAUGUGUGUGUGUGUGCGUGUGUUUCUGGUUGUAAUUAGUCCCAGCUAUAAUAAUUGACUAUUAGCGAUUUCUCAGAGCGUUAAGAGUGCAGCCUACAGAUGUGCGCUCACUCGUUUCAGAGCAGUUCUUGUCCGUUCAUCCGUCUCUUCGUCGAACGCCGUUUUCACAGUAAACGCAAACGUUCCAGCACCUUGGAGACGUUUUUCCAUCAGCGUGAUGAGUCAAGAACCGUCUCCAUUCACAUCCACAGAAAGAGUUAGCGUUAGCAUACAAAACAAAUCCAAAACAUCCAUCUUAACGUCACGCACUGUGUGUGUGACACUCGGCUUCCUCUUUCCUGUGGGAACACGCACAGCUCACUUCCAUCCUCACCGCGCCUAUUGUCUGUCUUAAGCGCUGACUAAGGACCUGCUUUCCCUCAAACGUCAGCAAACUUCACGUUCUCUGGUCCGUCCCUUUGAAGGAACCCUCAAAGGUUCCAGAGACGGACAACAGCCUCGUUAACCCUCCAAAGAACCCUUUUGCUUUGACAUGCGCGGUGUUUAACGUGUUUGAAUGGAACCCUGGUGCGUUCUCCUCCUCGGUGCGGAUCUUUAAGCACACAGAGAUCGCACUCUGGGGUUCUGACCGAGGUGGACGUGGUCCGCUUUCACGUGAGAAAGUUGCAGCGUUCGAGCCCGAGUACAGAGCCGUAGCGCUGCAGAAAUGCCGCUAGUUCUUUAUAUACGCGUCGACGCGGUCGUUGAGGUCAGCGUUCAACGGAAAUUCUGCCUCGAUAUUUCUGACCGGUGAGUGAUGUAGUCCGAGUGCGUCAUGAGUGCAAGUAAAAACACUUAGACUAACAUUCGUUAGAGUCUCUCUAGCAUUAAAGUAUUGUUUUUACUCGAUUUGGACUUUUUGUAUGAAAGCUUUGGACAGAGACACACGCGGCUCUGAGAAUGAGAAAUCAGGAUCAGGGUUUAUACUUACAAUAGAAGUGAUUUGGAGAUGAUUUCCAUGUUGGAUUUUUCCUCCAUGUGGACGCUAUGGAUGAAUGGGUUGGAUUUUUGACCUUAUAUAAUGUUUUGUAAGCGUGGGACUUGAUACUUUACAACAGCCUUCGCUUAGCUGACAAAGACGGGCCUUCUAAUCCUCUCUAAAGCCUGUAGAGAGUGAGCUGCUGCUAGACGCGCACACACACACACACACACACACACGGAGUGUGAUAUAAAGCCUGAACAAGCUCUUCGCUGCUCUCGGUCAGUCGGUCGGUCACGCUCAGGGUGUUGAGGUAUAAGAUGACGGACGAACAUCUUUCACGUUCAGAUUUCACGCUGAAACGGCGACUUAACCUCAAGUGUCGUCAUGUUACAGACGUGUGGUGACGCUCGGUGAUAUCGUGUCUCACUAAAGACGUGUGUGUGUGUGUGUGUGUUUGGUUUUGAGAGGAAGUUGGCAGAACGAACGCUAAACGCCUCAUUUCCAGCCUGUGAUCUCGGUGAAAAACGAGAACAGAGCUCGAGUGUGUGGCCGAGACCCGACCUCCGUCGCGCAUACAAAUAUUUACCCCGUUUGUGUGUGUGUGUGUGUGUGUGUGUGUGUUUGUGUGUGUGUGUGUGGGGGUGAAGUACCCAGUUGCGGACGAGCGCCUGUUGCCUCAGUUUAUCUCCUCCCGUCUGUCAGACUCGCAGGGACAGACAGUGUUUAGCAAACAGACACAGCUGGAGCACCUCUGGAAUUUUACUCUUUACUAACGAGAGCAGUGCAUUCUGGGAGCUUUUCCUUCGCUGCUGGAUGCCGGGUCAAGUCGAGUAUCUGACAGCUGGUUCCUUUUGAAACAGGGUUCGAGCUCCUGUAGCUCAGAACGUGUGAGCGAUCUCGAGUUACGUCUCGGCGAUCCGAAAACACGACCUGUAGAUGGACCGGUGUGUCUGAUGACCUGAGAUCAUCACGCCGGUCUCUUAUUUACAGCACACAGUAUUAGCCCACGUCCCACGUGAUCCGGGCUCCUCACGUCCGGAUCCGACCGACUUCAAUGACUGAAUGAAAAUUUUGACAGCAGAUUAAUUCAUGAGUAAUCCUCUGACACGUUGUUCCUUAAAGUUUGGUCCGUGAUUUUGGUAUUGUUUCGUUGCCGAGUCGGUUUCAUUUGGAAGUCGCAGCCCAACGUUGAUAUCUUUAUCCACAGAGUUCUUCUCGUUCUUAGCCGGGCUCGAUCGCUCCCUGGAUUUAAAAGGCUUUCAUCCAGACAACUCAUAAACAAAUAAAUAAAGCUCCACAUAAUGUUAGCUUGGACUUAAUAUGUUCUGCUGGUGGAACAUUCAAGAAUAACACGCACCGUGACUCCAAAAUGUAGACAAAGUAGUAUUGUCUUCACUUUUCAAUAACGUUAAUGAAAUAAAUAAAUAUGUACCGAGGGGGUCCUUGGGAUCCGUUUCACAGUUAACGCGUGUAACGGUUACAGAAAGUUUGAGAUCUCUGCAGUACUUUGUCUGGGUCUGCAUCCAGACCUCCUCAGUGGGUACGUCCCUGUUUUACACAGGCAGGAUACAAGCUCAGGGAGUUUCGAGGGUCGUUUUUGCUCCGGUUUCCACCGAGGAACCUUUUUAGGAAGCGAAAACCUUCCUGAACAGUUCCUUCGUCACGUUUCCUGGAUUUCAGGGGUUUCCACUCCACUACGGGAGUCAUAGAAGAACACGAAAACACACGUUAUCUCACCGUCCGUUAUAGAAAUCGGACGCGAUUCUGUCCGGAUCUCGGACACUCGAUCGUGUUUCCGAGAUGUUUAUCGUGUGGAUGUCUCAAGCUCUUCACCACACACAGGAACGUGAAUCGGGACCCCGGCAGCUG